CUAAUCGUCGGUCUUUUAGCACCUGAGGCCAAUCAAGAAGAAGAAGGUUAGAUUGACAAACUAAAGAAGACAUCAUAUGCAUAGUUUACACAAAAGAUCAUAGGAUGUAACUAUGCAAAGUGCAAACGAUUUGGUUUUUAGGAUACAAGUCAAAGAGAGCUUUAUGUAAUAGAGACAUUACUUGUUAAGGCCUUAGAGGAGGAGCUAGUGGCAAUUGACAGACGAGAAGGUCUUGUUUGGCCUGGUGGUUUCAAGGUCUGCUUCGGUAUCUUCGAUGGAAUACUAGUUCUGCUUUUAAAACACCAAAACAAAACAAAACAAAGAAUCUGUUCAUACUAGCAUUCACAUUGUUCUGUUAAAGCGUGAUAGUAGAGGAUACUAACUUGUCUUUGGGCACGGUUUUCACUGUUUUCGCUGAUUUCUCAGGUUUCUCAGGGGCCAAGUGUGUUUCAGGUUCUUCCGUUAUUUCAAGAGGCUUCACGGUUUCAGGGAAUAGAGUCAACUCCACUGCACUGCUUAUGGAGCCAUCAGUUUCUGUUCCCAUCGAAAGGCAGCUAUCGGAGAUAUCAC
rnacentral:lncRNA from 1 species